UCAAGCGAACAAGUGCAUGUGGUGGAUGCCUUGGCGAUCACAGGCGAUGAAGGACGCGGUAGCCUGCGAAAAGCUACGGGGAGCUGGCAAACGAGCUUUGAUCCGUAGAUGUCCGAAUGGGGAAACCCGGCCCUUUUGGGUCAUCCUGGACUGAAUACAUAGGUCCAGUGAAGCGAACGCGGUGAACUGAAACAUCUAAGUAACCGCAGGAAAAGAAAUCAACCGAGAUUCCCAAAGUAGUGGCGAGCGAAAUGGGAUGAGCCUUGCACUCUUUAUUUGUAUUGUUAGCCGAACGCUCUGGAAAGUGCGGCCAUAGCAGGUGAUAGCCCUGUAGGCGAAAACAGUAUGAAAGAACUAGGUGUGCGACAAGUAGGGCGGGACACGUGAAAUCCUGUCUGAAGAUGGGGGGACCAUCCUCCAAGGCUAAAUACUCGUGAUCGACCGAUAGUGAACCAGUACCGUGAGGGAAAGGCGAAAAGAACCCCGGGAGGGGAGUGAAAUAGAUCCUGAAACCGCAUGCAUACAAACAGUCGGAGCCUCGCAAGGGGUGACGGCGUACCUUUUGUAUAAUGGGUCAGCGACUUACGUUCAGUAGCAAGCUUAACCGUAUAGGGCAGGAGUAUCGAAAGAGAGUCCUAAUAUGGCGUUAAUUUGCUGGGCGUAGACCCGAAACCAGGUGAUCUAUCCAUGGCCAGGAUGAAGGUGCGGUAACACGUACUGGAGGUCCGAACCCACUAACGUUGAAAAGUUAGGGGAUGAGCUGUGGAUAGGGGUGAAAGGCUAAACAAACCUGGAAAUAGCUGGUUCUCUCCGAAAACUAUUUAGGUAGUGCCUCGUGUCUCACCUUCGGGGGUAGAGCACUGUCAUGGUUGGGGGGUCUAUUGCAGAUUACCCCGCCAUAGCAAACUCCGAAUACCGAAGAGUGCAAUCACGGGAGACAGACAUCGGGUGCUAACGUCCGGUGUCAAGAGGGAAACAACCCAGACCGCCAGCUAAGGUCCCCAAAUAUAGCUAAGUGGGAAACGAAGUGGGAAGGCUAAAACAGUCAGGAGGUUGGCUUAGAAGCAGCCACCCUUUAAAGAAAGCGUAAUAGCUCACUGAUCGAGUCGUCCUGCGCGGAAGAUGUAACGGGGCUAAGCUAUAUACCGAAGCUGCGGAUGCGAGCUUGCUCGCAUGGUAGGAGAGCGUUCCGUAAGCCUGCGAAGGUGCCUUGUAAAGGGUGCUGGAGGUAUCGGAAGUGCGAAUGCUGACAUGAGUAGCGAUAAAGGGGGUGAAAGGCCCCCUCGCCGUAAGCCCAAGGUUUCCUACGCAACGUUCAUCGGCGUAGGGUGAGUCGGCCCCUAAGGCGAGGCAGAAAUGCGUAGCUGAUGGGAAGCAGGUCAAUAUUCCUGCACCAUUGUUAGAUGCGAUGGGGGGACGGAUCGCGGAAGGUUGUCCGGGUGUUGGAAGUCCCGGUCGCUGCAUUGGAGAAGGCGCUUAGGCAAAUCCGGGCGCGCAAUUCAAGGGUGUGGCGCGAGCUCCUUAGGGAGCGAAGCAAUUGGAAGUGGUUCCAAGAAAAGCCUCUAAGCUUCAGUCUAACGAUGACCGUACCGCAAACCGACACAGGUGGGCGAGAUGAGUAUUCUAAGGCGCUUGAGAGAACUCGGGAGAAGGAACUCGGCAAAUUGGUACCGUAACUUCGGGAUAAGGUACGCCCUUGUAGCUUGACUGGCCUGCGCCAGGAGGGUGAAGGGGUUGCAAUAAACUGGUGGCUGCGACUGUUUAAUAAAAACACAGCACUCUGCAAACACGAAAGUGGACGUAUAGGGUGUGACGCCUGCCCGGUGCCGGAAGAUUAAAUGAUGGGGUGCAAGCUCUUGAUUGAAGUCCCGGUAAACGGCGGCCGUAACUAUAACGGUCCUAAGGUAGCGAAAUUCCUUGUCGGGUAAGUUCCGACCUGCACGAAUGGCGUAACGAUGGCCACACUGUCUCCUCCCGAGACUCAGCGAAGUUGAAGUGUUUGUGAUGAUGCAAUCUACCCGCGGCUAGACGGAAAGACCCCAUGAACCUUUACUGUAGCUUUGCAUUGGACUUUGAACCGAUCUGUGUAGGAUAGGUGGGAGGCUAUGAAACCGGAACGCUAGUUUCGGUGGAGCCGUCCUUGAAAUACCACCCUGGUUUGUUUGAGGUUCUAACCUUGGCCCGUGAUCCGGGUCGGGGACAGUGCAUGGUAGGCAGUUUGACUGGGGCGGUCUCCUCCCAAAGCGUAACGGAGGAGUACGAAGGUACGCUAGGUACGGUCGGAAAUCGUGCUGAUAGUGCAAUGGCAUAAGCGUGCUUAACUGCGAGACCGACAAGUCGAGCAGGUGCGAAAGCAGGUCAUAGUGAUCCGGUGGUUCUGUAUGGAAGGGCCAUCGCUCAACGGAUAAAAGGUACUCUGGGGAUAACAGGCUGAUACCGCCCAAGAGUUCAUAUCGACGGCGGUGUUUGGCACCUCGAUGUCGGCUCAUCUCAUCCUGGGGCUGUAGCCGGUCCCAAGGGUAUGGCUGUUCGCCAUUUAAAGAGGUACGUGAGCUGGGUUUAAAACGUCGUGAGACAGUUUGGUCCCUAUCUGCCGUGGGCGUUGGAUAUUUGAAGGGGGCUGCUCCUAGUACGAGAGGACCGGAGUGGACGAACCUCUGGUGUACCGGUUGUCACGCCAGUGGCAUCGCCGGGUAGCUAUGUUCGGAAGAGAUAACCGCUGAAAGCAUCUAAGCGGGAAACUCGCCUUAAGAUGAGAUAUCCCUGGGGACUAGAUCCCCUUGAAGGGUCGUUCGAGACCAGGACGUUGAUAGGUCAGGUGUGUAAGCGCAGUAAUGCGUUCAGCUAACUGAUACUAAUUGCCCGUAAGGCUUGAUCC
rnacentral:rRNA from 1 species